rnacentral:lncRNA from 1 species
UAAGUGCCGUGGACCUCCUUGAUUCUGGUUCUCACAUGUCCCCUUUCAGAAGGAGCAGAACUUCAAAAGCAGCCCAACUCUUUCCCGGGAAGCAAUUUCACAACACUAUCUUUUGAUUUCUCUGACCAUCUACAGGCGAUUUGUCAAGAGAAGACUCGGGUCAGCCAUCUUAAUUCAAGCCUCCACAGAGGCUUGAAGCAAGAAGUCACUGCGAGUUACCAGAAGCUCUCGAGAGCAUCGCCUCCUGGGUUGCUCCACCACAACUGUAAAAGAAACUUUGAACCUGUCUGUUCCAAACUCAGUUUACUCCCCUUGAACUUGAAUAUCAGUGGCUUGGGAAGGAAGGAAAGAUCGCGUUUGUAUGGAAAUGUCCAGCUUGUUAUCCUGAAUCACUUGCAGCCGUAAGACAAUGCCUCCUGGUACUUCAGGGAAACCAAAGACUUUUCCUGUCUCAAGGCCACUAGAGGUCAGCCACCAGAGUCACCACCAUGCAGGUGUCUCCCUGUACCUGGACAAGGCAUCCGGCGGACACACCGUCCCUCUGUAAACAUAUCAGACCUGGGCACUCCCCAAAGAAAACACUCGGUAUAAUCUUCCACUGCAU